rnacentral:rRNA from 1 species
GACGAACGCUGGCGGCGUGCCUAAUACAUGCAAGUCGAGCGCUGAAGGUUGGUACUUGUGCCAACUGGGUGAGCAGCGAACGGGUGAGUAACGCGUGGGGAAUCUGCCUUUGAUCGGGGUACAACAUGUGGAAACGAAUGCUAAUACCGCAUAAAAACUUUAAACACAAGGGUUAAGGUUGAAAGAUGCAAUUGCAGCACUCAAAGAUGAUCCCUCGUUGUAUUAGCUUGGUGGUGAGGUAAAGCAGCAACAAGGCGAUGCUACGGAGCCGAACUGAGAGGGUGGGCGGCCCGAUUGGGAGGGAGACAGGGCACAAACGCCUACGGGAGGCAGCAGGAGGGCAUCUGGGGCAAGGGGCGAAAAGCUGAGCGCGAAACGCCGCGGGAGUGAAGAAGGAUUUCGGGUCGUAAAACUCGGUUGGUAGGGAAGAAAGUUGGUGAGAGUGGAAAGCUCAUCAAGUGACGGUAACUACCCAGAAAGAGACGGCUAACUACGUG